AAACUGAUUUAGUCUGUGACCUGUGAACCUCUUCUGUGGAUUUCAAUAAGAGAAACAAAUGCAUUCCAGAGUUUGAAUGUAUUUCUUUACAUGAAGAGGACCUAGGGAUGAAAAAGUGAAUUCAGUUUUGUUUUAUAAUUUCUCACCUCUCAGCACAUCAGAAGUAAAUAUUGGCCCUGCACACUUGGAUCCUUCUAAGCAGUGGAUGCUUCUGUCAGGCUGAGACUAAGGUCUCAGGAGGAAAAGGAAACGAACCCAUUUUCUCAGCACACCAUCUAGAAUUGAAAGCCAAGAAGAGAUAUGCAAAUGUUCAGGUUUCUAAUAGCUCAUCAUCUGGAAACAACUAAAUAUUAAUGACACACAUUUAAGAUUAACAACAGCAGAGCAUUUACCUCUUUCUCCUUAGAGAAUUAUAACAAGUUAUUUUAAUGCUCUUACAAACGAAAUGAUGAAUUUUAAGAGAGAGCUAACAAACAGAAAUUCCCUUUUAAGGAAUUUUUUUUUUUCAUUUCAAG
rnacentral:lncRNA from 1 species